CUGUUUCGGAUCCUGCGUCUCCCUCUUUCUCUGACCCUCCCCUGUUCAUGCUCUCUCUCUCUCUCUGUCUCAAAAAUAAAUGUUAAAAAAAAACUUUUUUUUUAAGUUCUAAGUGGUUUAGUUAUGUUCUGAAGCAAGCCUGGUGGGUGCUUUGGUGACUGCCUCAUUUGAACCCUCAUCUCCUGAUGUUGCCUUCAGCCUGUGAGGUUGAAGUAUGCAGUGGACUCCCAAGGCUAUAGUGAUGAAGACUUGUGGCCGCGGGGGCCUCACCAACUGUGAGCAGCACCCCAUGUUAGGCCCACGCAGCUACAGGUGAGGAGGAGGAAGGACACAGGGAGGCAAGUAGAAAGAAACCGUGGCUCACAUUCUGUUGAGGCCAUUCCCGUGGUGCAGGGUGAGCAUGCUCCUUCACCCCGUGUGUGUGUGUGUGUGUGUGUGUGUGUGUGUGUGUGUGUGUGUGUGUGUGUUGUGUCUCACUCAGUGUGGCUUGUUUUCAAUUAGACCAGGCCUGAAAAAAUGAAAGGGAAGAAUUUCACUUUGAGACCAUAUGGAGAUGACCAAAUUCACCCCGCUCGGGGCCCCCGGGGCAGAGUAAACUUGCACUGCUAGUCGUGAACAGCAGUGUGUAAUAAAACAUUCUUUCCUUGAACCCUUUUGACUGGGAGGGAGGCACAGGGGGAGAACACAGCAGGAAUUCUUUCUUUUCAGCUGCUUCCUACUCUGUUGCUUACAUUCACCCAACAGAUCUUAUUGGGCUGCUACUGUGUGUGAGAGAGACGGAGACAGAGUGUGUGUUUUAUGGAGGAGACUGAUUAGCCUGGGCUCCGUUUUUGUCGUCCUUGGUGGUGCUAUGGAUCCCAUUUUAGGUUUACUGCCCCUUGACAUUUCUUAAAAGGAGUCUUCAAAGCAGAAAGUCCUAUUCUGAAGACAGGUUUCUGGGCAGUAAAGUUGACAGGGUUUAACAUCAGGAAAGUCAACCUGAUAGAAAAAGGAAACAGGAUAAACAAUUCAAGCUCCAUUCCACAAAGUUCUUGGAUGGGAAAGGCCCUGUUUAUGAAAACCCAGUGGCAGGCGUUCACUGUUCAUGUGGCCAGUGCUGGAGAGCGUGCAGUCCGUGGCUUACCUUCCCACGAGAUGACCCCGGCAUUUGUAGCAGUGGCGAAAUAGUAAAGCCAUUAGAUAAAAUCAGGCCAGUAAGACUCCGGUGUUUGUUUACUAAUGGGAUUUCUCAAAUCAAGUCACUGUUGACUUGUUCGCAGCUCCCCCAUCUCUUGUUCCCUAGGCUCACCUAAUAGAAGUGCCCUUCUCUUCUGCAGCCAACCAAUAUAGUGCCUGCCCAUUUAGCGAAAUUUGCAUUUUAUAUAUUGAACUUGAAACCGACUUGCUUAAUAUAUAACCAGGGCAGUAGCUAAGAAGUUUUUAUUUCGGUGAACACUUAGUGACGGUAAACAACGAGACUGUGGCAUUCUGGUCUUUGGGCAUAUUGUUUGUUACUGGUAAGACAGGGAAUCUGAGGAUUUUGCUGGUGGGACUUCAGGACUGUGUUGUAGAUGUGAGUUUCCAUUUGAGCUCGUGUACAAAUGGGUAUGUGUACUUUGAUUUUCCUGAUGUGUUUAAUGUUAGGAUACAGUCAUUUUUUUUGUUAAUAUCCCCACCUCUUUAUAAACAGAAUUCCAGGGGAAAAACAAUUCUAGGCAGAGGAAGUCUAAAAUAUUUGUAGAAGAUAGAAGGGAUAGUGCUAUAACCACAGAUAGGAAAACAAAAAAUAAAGAAGGAGAGAUUGUAAUGCAAUCCGUGUAUUGGAACAUGCUCCUUUAGAGUGAAGCAGGGCAGGGGCUGCUGGGCGGUGGGGAAGAAUCCACCUAGCAGCUCAUAGAUUUUAUGCUUGGUGAUCUAUAAAUAUUUGGCUGUGCCUAAUAAUUAACAUUAUACUUCCUUUUUCCUCUAUAGAAGGCUGUUCAGAAUUCCUUUUUACACACAAACAAAAAGAUUAUAUGGGGUUUUGCCUCAUAUGGAAUAGAUCAGCAGUUUAAAGCCAGGGCAGUCAACAGUCCUGCUGAAGAGGUUGCCUUCCUUUUUGGAGAGUGAGGACUGGUUCCCUUGGCAGUGCUGAGCCCAGAAAAGAGAGGGCACUGAGCACUUGAUCUUGGUCUUCCAGGUUUCUUGGUAACCCCAGCAUGGGACUCAGAAGACAGAGCUCCCAUAUCUGGAUGAGCAUACCCUUGGGGUAUUUUCGUAAUGCUUUUGUGGAUAUGUCAGCAACUUAGCACCCACCAAGACCUUCCUCUCUCUCUGUCUCUCUGUCUCUCUGUCUCUCUCUCUCUCUCCUGCCUAUCUUUCCUCCUCUGACAAUGGUCCCUGGGACCUGGGGUUGGAAAUUCUCCCUCAGUCUCCUUUCCUUUCCCAUCGUCCUCUGGAUGGGCCCUGAUGAAUUUGUGCUGAGUCGGGAGCUUCCCUUCCCUUAGAACCUAGCACAAAGCAGUUCCUGUCAUCCUGGCAGUGGACGCUAGAGACAAAGCUUAAUUUAUUUACUUGACUCUAUAGCUGUCUUUUCAUUUGUAUGCCCUUCUUGUCUAUUCUUGCUCUAGUUCUCCUUUCCUUGAAUCUUUACUUGUCCAUCUUUUAAAUUUUCUUCUAAAGGCACAAAUAGCACAUCAGGUAAAGGGAGGCUUCAGGACCGGAGUGCAGGGUCUUCCAAAAACAAAGUUCAGAAUGGCCACCCUGAUCGUCACGGCAUGGCUGGUGUCACAUUAACAGCCCGGGACUCUUGUGGCUCUCCUCAGAGCGUUGUGUGGGAAGCACCACAGUGUAAUAAAAAACGGUAAUGAUUAAAAGA